UAGUACUGGAGUUUCAAGAGUUUGU
rnacentral:piRNA from 1 species